UCUAAAUGAGCUUUGAAAUCUGAAGUUUAAUAUUCAAAUGAUCAAAGUUCAAAAAAAUGCACACACAUGACCUCUAUUUAUAGCCUAAGUGUCACACAAAAUUGGAGGGAAAUUCAAAUUUCACUUGAAUUUGAAAUUGAAUUUGUGGAGCCAAACUUUGGAGCCAAAAUUUCAAUAAUUAUGAUUAGUGAAUAUUAGUUAUGGUUCAGCCCACUAAUCCAAGAUCAAUUCCAAGAUUCUCCACUAAGUGUGCUUAGGUGUCAUGAGGCAUGAAAAGCAUGAAGGACAUGCACAAAGUGUGACUAUAUGAUGUGGCAAUGGGGUGUAGUAAGCAAAUGCUCACCUCCCCCUCUAAAAUUUAAUUGGAUUGGGC
rnacentral:lncRNA from 1 species